AUCGCUUAUCAGUCUUUUGAAUAAGAUCAAGAGUAGUAUCUUCUCUUAUCAGUUUAAUACCUGAUAUGUCCUCUAUCUGAGGACAGUAUAUUAAAUGGAUUUUUGGAGCAGGGAGUUGGAAUAGGAGCUUGCUCCAUCCACUCCAAGCAUCAGCCUGGCAUUUCAGUACUUCCAGGAAUGGUGCAUCCUCU
ensembl:snRNA U2 U2 spliceosomal RNA